GGAGGUGCAAAAGAUAAUAAGCAUGUGUAGUUUUGAGAAGUUGAGCAGCUUGGAGGUCAAUAAAAAUGGGAAGCACCGUCCGGACACAUCACUUGCUAUUCAAAACAGUGUAUACUUCAGGAGAGGUGAGAUAGGCGACUGGGCAAAUCACUUGACACCUGAAAUGGGAGCACGUCUAGAUGACAUAAUGGAGCAGAAACUCAAGGGUUCAGGCUUGAAGCUGCCCAGGUGACUGUGCCUAGGGUCCCAUUUGCUUAUGAUUAUUGCCCAAGCGGGUUCAUCAAAAGCUGUUAUCAACAUCUCGUGAAACAGAAACUGUGUAUCCCAAUAAAUACCCUCUUUGUUCAUCUCUUGUAUUUCCUAUCAAGUAUUCACAUUUUGUGAAUCAUCCAUGUCAAUAAGCAAUGUUCUUUUGUGAAUCUGUGUUUGUGACUUUCAUUGAUUUCCUUGCAUGCUUGUAAGAAUUCAAAAUGGGAUUCGUUUUUUUAUUUAUUUAUUUAACACAAGUGCAUGCAUUCCAUUAAUCAGUUGGAUAAAAAAUAAAUUUACUCUAAUAUAUAAUAUUAGAGUGUUUUCUUCACAGAAAUUGCAGUGUGUUUUCUUCACAGUUAUACAUGUUUUAAAAGAACCGAGACAACCCAUACAUGAGGGCGGAGCAAAGACCAACCGAGACAACCAUCCAUUAAGAUUGUUGAAUUGCAGAUCAAAUGAACGUAGGCGGCACAUCUGCUGGAAGGAUCUCGAAAUGCCUUGUAAUUGGUUAAAAUAAAGAUCAAGAUCUGUAGGAGAACUCGUGUUUUCCACUCCUAAAAUAAGCCCAGUUGCCGGCUUCAUGUGCAACAGAGGCACAUAGAGAAUCUGAAAGCAGUUUUUAUGCACUAUCAGCAGAAUAAUUUGAUCAGUCAGAAUGAAAACCCCCCCCCCCAGGCUCACAAAUCUUCUUACUUCAAACAAAUCUUUUGGAACCGAUAUAUAUGUCGAGUGAUGGCUUGAUUUAUACCGGAGAUUGUGUUGGAAAAUUAAAGAAGCAUGGCUUAAUUUGUACCUUGGAUGCGCAAAUUGAUUACAGGGAAAAAAUGACAGAAAGUGAGUUGCAGGGAAUGAAAAAGGCAUUAGUAAACUCAACACCUUUCAGGGUAUCGUUCCUUGGUUUGCUCCCUUUUAUUUCUUAUUUUGUUUUUCCUGCCAUUGUCUAAUGUUUUUCUAACUCGCAGUCUGGUCUCUGCAGAGAAUGAGAAAGCACAAACUCUUUAAGAGAAGAUAUUCUCCGGCAAUGGCAUCAAACAGAAAAGUCCGACGUCAACUAAGUGAGUGUAUAGCGUUGCUGCUGUGUUUACAGAAAAACACCAUUGUCAUGUGUUUGGUUACGGUCUAAACAUAAUUUUUUAUCGGUGAGACCCAUUACCAUUUGCAUUUAAACCGCAAGAUAACCAGAAGCAACUUUAAGCUGCGUUUUGUUUUGAGUUGCAAAUUGUGUUAUAAAUAGAGGCCACAAGAAAAAGAGCAGAAACAGAGCAGUGAAUAGUGAUUAGUGGAGAGCAACUCCCUCUCACCACUGACCUCCGCCAGCCACUGCUUUUUCUCUUCUCCUUCUCUUCUCGUUCUCCUUCGUCUUCUGCAUUCUCUACUGUUCACGUGAACAAUGGAGAGUGGAGAGCAGCUCACCAUCAACCCCUGCUGUUUCCACCGCCAGCCACUGCUCUUCCUCUUCCCCUUCUCCUUCGUCUUUUACGUUCUCCACUGUUAAUGUGAACAGUGGAGAGCAGCUCACCACCGGCCUUCACUAUUUCCACUGCCAGCCACUGCUCUUCCUCUUCCCCUUCCCCUUCUCCUUCCCCUUCUCCUUCUCAUUCAUCUUCUGCAUUCUCCACUGUUCAUGGCCGGACUGGGCCUAGCCCAAACCUAAAUGUAUUUGACUGGGUCCGACCCAGUAAAAUAAAAAAAAAUCCAAAUUUUUUUUCUUAAAUAUUGUGUUUUAUUUGAAAAACUAGUGUUUAAAAUUAUUCAAUGACACUACAUAAUUAUAUUAGAAGGAGAUCGCACGAUGACGUAGCAUGUGCAGAAUUUGAUUGCAAUCCUAAUUUUUUUCCUAAUGAUAUUUUACAUGAUGUAAUGAUAUCUUACCUGAUGUUGGUGCAAGUUCAGGAAGCCAUGGAAACUGUAGUUCUUGUCGGAUGGAUUUCGUAUAUGAUUGAAUUGCAAAUAGUUUAAUGGAACAAUAAAAAAUACUUUAUAUAAAGUAUUGUUUAUUUCAUGAUGUAAUAGCAGUAGUUAAAUCUAUAAUAUUUCAAUUAAAAACCAUCAAUAUUAAUAUAUGUCUUUUUUAGUUAUUUUAUAACCUCAAUUUGAAAAGUAUUCUUUAACCAAACACAUUAAACUACUUUUUGUUCAACCUCAAUUUCAACCACAGUUUUAACCAAACAUAUAUUUUUCCAAACUAAUCUAAACUAAAAGUAUUUUUUAUAAAAACAAUUUUUUUCAAACCACAACAGCUACCACAAUACCAAACACACACAAAAAAAACUGUACUGAUAAGUAAGUUACAAUGCCACCACUGAUUUAGGAUCUGCUUUAGAUCUUAUAAGGUGAAAGUUGAAAGCUAGCAAGAAUCGUCACAGAGAUGAACAGAGAAGUGAAUAGAAUUAGAGGGAGAUACUGCAAUGCAGAGGAAGAAGAAAAACAUUUCUGUGUAUAUUCACUUAUAUUUUUUUACCAGCGCUGUUACAUUCAUUUUAUAUGAACCAAGAUGAGAAGCUUGUUUACGUAAUCUAAUCAACAGUAACAGACUUUGUUAACUGUCUAACAAUAUUAACAAACUUUCUAACCAUUGUAUUCUCUAUUCUCUUGACAGGUGGCAGAAGCAGAGCCUUUGAUAUCUUGACAUUCCCCCUCAAUCACAAGCGUGAAGGAACCAAGCAUAAGAUUGGAACAGUGACGCCGAAAUAAAGGAGUGGAAAGACCUUUAGUUAGGAUAUUAGCAAAUUGAUCGGUAGAAGAGACAUGUUGAACCAACAAAUCACCUUUGACAACACGUUCUCAAACAAAAUGAUAAUCAAUUUGGAGAUGCUUCAUUCUGGAAUGGAAGACUGGAUUGGAAGCAAGGGAAAUAGUUGAGAUAUUGUCAUAAUGAAUUAACGGAGGGAUAUGUAAAGGAAUGUGAAUGUCACAGAGCAGUUGGCGAAUCCAGGCAAGUUUGGCAGCAGCAAUUGCUAGAGCCCGAUACUCAACCUCAGUAGAUGAUCGAGAAACAAUAUGUUGUUUCUUAGAAGCCCAAGAAAUAGGACUGGAGCCGAGGAAAACAAUAGAGCCAGAGACAGAACGUCGAUCAUUGGGAUCGCCAACCCAGUCAGCAUCACUAUAAGCUUGUCGAUUAAGAAGACUAGGCUGAAAAUGAAGGCCAAAAUCAAGGGUACCUUUAAGAUACCGCAAGAUUCUUUUGACAGCCACAACAUAAGAAUGCAUGGGAUUAUGCAUAAAUUGACAAGCUCGGUUCAUAGAGAAAGCAAUAUCGAGCCUGGUGAACGUGAGAUACUGCAAUGCGCCAACUAUGCUCCGAUAUUGUUGUGGAUGAGAGUAGGCUUAGCCAUCAUCUUUGAGCAAAUGAUGAUGAGGAAGACAAGAAGUAUCAAAUGAUUUGGAAUUUUGUAAAUCAACUCUAGCAAGUAAGUCUGUGAUAUAACUUAUCUAGGACACAAACAAACCAGAAGGGAGAUAAGAGAUUUGCAAUCCCAAAAAAUAAUUCAACUUACCGGUAUCCUUCAUAUCAAAUUUCUGAGUCAAGGCAGCAAUGACUGAAGAAAGAAGAGAAUAAUGACUGCUAGUAAGAAUGAUAUCAUCUAAAUAGAGUAGCAAUAUCACAACACUAAGAGAAGAAUGCUGAACAAACAAAGAGGGAUCGACAAGAGAUGCUUGAAACCCCAAACAUGGUAAAAAAACUGGUAAAACGUUCAUUCCAGGCACGAGGAGCCUGUUUAAGGCCAUACAAGGACUUUCUUAGUCUGCAAACAAAGUUAGCAGGAUAAAGCUUACUCAUAAAACCUUGGGGUUGAGUCAUAUAAACCUCCUCAUGAAGAAUACCAUGCAAAAAGGCAUUGGUAACGUCAAGCUACCGUAAGGACCAGUUAAACUGAGCUGCAAGAGUAAGAAUUAAACGAACCAUAGUAGGUUUUAUGACAGGACUGAAAGUUUCAUUAUAGUCAAUUCCUUCCUCUUGAAUGAAACCCUUAGCCACCAAUCGAGCUUUAUGCCUAGCUAUAGAACCAUCCGCAUGCUUCUUGAGUCGGUAGACCCAUUUACAGCCAACAAGAUUCUUAGCAGGUGGGAGAGGCACCAAAUCCUAAGUACCUUAUGCAUGAAGAGCAUCAAUUUCCUCCCACAUAGCAGACUGCCAUUCUGGAAAGGUUGAAGCAGCCUUGAAGGAACUGGGUUCAACCUGAGAAAAAGCAACAGACUAUACAGAGGUAAAGUAAGCCUUUCUUUUGGAAAUACCAUUCUUAAACCUGAUGGUCAUUGGAUGAAGAUUCAUCGGUGAAAGAGGUAAGACCACACACAGAUUCUCAGGUUGGAAGUCAGGAUCAAAUCUAGUGACAAAGAAGCGAUUGGUUUGAAUAAAAAAACAGAAAUACCCUUUAUACUGACCAGCAUACCCCAGAAAAAUACAAGUGGAAGUUUUGGGCUGAAGUUUGUUAGUAUUAUAAGGCUUGAGUAAAGGAAAACAAGCACAACCAAAAAUCCACAAAUGAGUAAUGACCAGUGGAGAACCAUAUAACAGGAAAUAAGGUGAUUUGAGUUGAAGAAUUUGACAGGGCAUUCUAUUAAUCAAAUAAAUAGAAGUAGCACAAGCACGAAACCAAAAUUUUGGAGGUAAAUGGGCAGUUUGUAACAGAGUGAUGGCUGUUUCUAAAAUAUACCUAUGUUUGCGCUCAGCAAGGCCAUUCUGUUUCGGAGUAUAGGGACAGGACAUUUGAUGGACAAUACCCUUGGUAAAGAGGUAAUGUUUGAAUUUAGUACUAAGAUACUCACCACCCCCAUCACUUUGAAAGACUCGAAGAGUAGCAGAAAAUUGAGCAACUAAAAAGGUAUGAAAGUAGGCAAAAAUGGAAUAAACCUCUCCUUUAUUGAUCAUCAGAAAAAACCAAGUAAAUCGAGUACAUUCAUCAAUGAAACUAACAUAAUAUCUGAAACCUUCAACAGAUACAGUGGGAGAAGAACCCCAAACAUCACUAUGUAUGACCUCUCAAGGUUUAACAAAUUUAACUGCGGGAUAGGGAAAAGGAAGUUUAGCAAGUUUACCCUCUAAAAAAGUGGUACAAACGAAUUUGGAUGUGUUUGAAGUGAAAGAAAUCUGGGAUUGAUUUAACAGAGUAGAGGUGACUAUGUUAGAGGGAUGACCAAAACGCUUGUGCCAGAGACUUGUGUUGACCUGUUUACCAAGAUAGCAAACUUGAUUAUUUUGAAAGAGAGAUUAUGAAGGAAACGAAAUGGAGAAAGGAAUAGGAUAUAACCCAGCUCUACACAGUCCCUUGAGAAGGACAUUUCCCAUGAAUUUGUCCUGAAUCCAAAAACCAAAAUCAUCACAAAUAAAUCGACAGUUGUUAUCUUUACACAACUUAUGAACCGAUAAUAAGUGUUGAGAUAGCUUAGGCACAUGCAAAACUUGCUUUAAUUGUAAUGAGCAUUGAUGAACAUCUAAAAUAAAAGAACCAAUAUUAGAAAUGGUCAAACUUGAACCUCCUGUAGUGGUAACAGUAUCAGAUCCUGAGAAAGGUGUAGCCAGAUUGAGUUGAGCCAAAUCAGAAGUCAUAUGUGUUGUGGUGCCAUUAUCAGCCAGCCAUAAUUGUUCAGGAGGGGAAGAAGAUGGAAAAUUGGCAUGCAUAGCACUAAGAUUACUGGAGGGAGGCCUGCCUUGAUAGCUGAAAUUACCUCUAUGAUAACAUUGAACGGCAGAGUGCCCAAAUUUUCAACAAAUUUGACAUUGAAUGGAAGUGGCAAAAGUACUUAGCAGAGUGUGGCGUUGAUAACAAUUAGCAGCUACAUGACCUUUUUUAGUACAAAUUUGACAUGUAGGAAUGUCAAUGCCAGAACCAAGAAUGCCAGGAUUAGAAGUAGGUGGAACCUAAUAAGGGCGUGGACUAGAUUGAUAAUGAUUACGUCCUCUGCCAUAACCCUUAAAAUUAAACCCCUGAUUGCCAAAGUAUCCUCCAGUAGAACCAUGAAAGCUACUGUGAUGACCAUUAAAUCCUCCAUUGAAACCAGAAGGAAAUUAAGAUGGUGGAGCAGACUUGGAGCUAGAAGGAUGAGAAUUAGAGUUACCUUUAUCAAGAGCAAGAGCCUUGCCAGGAGAUAUUUGAUGUUGAGCCAUCACUGCAGGAACAAACAGGGAAGCAGAAUAAGUUUGCUCAAGAAUGGCUUCUUCAGCUAGCAAUUGAGACCGAAAAUCUUUAAGGGAUAACACGUUGUCUCGGUCGCGAACAAUACACCUAAAGGUGUUAUAAUUAGAAGGAAGACCAUUGAGAGCCAAGAUUACAAUAUCAUCAUCUUCAAAAUAAACCCCUGCUACAGAAAGAUGGUCUCGAGCAUCUUUGAUCUUUUACAGAUAUUGAGACACAGAAUCUGAGCCCUUCUUGAUGGUUUGAAGCUCACUUUUCAUCUGAAAAAUAUGUGCCUUAGUAAUUGUGGAAAAUCUAUUCUUCAGUUGAAUCCACAUGUCAUGAGAGCUAACACAUUCAAUAACAUAGGAGAUUGCAGUUGAUGAGAGAGUAGCAAUAAUCAACUGCAUCAAUGUCCGGUCAUACAUUUUCCAAACCUGAUGAUCAUCAGUUUCAACACAUUCAAGGUCAGCAUCUGCAUCAAACCGAUUUGGACACUUUCUUGAUCCAUCAACAAAUCCUAAAAUACCAUAACUCUCAAGUAGAAUAUGCAUAUGAAAAUUCCAGAUGAGAUAAUUUGUGUCAUCCAGCUUGACUGUUACAGCUGUUGAAACUGUAGGAAGUAAACAGGUAAUAGGAGAUUGAACAAUUUAAAGUUGAGAAGUAGUCACCAUUUUAGAGUUCAAGAGAUAGCGAGGAAGAGAAUCACAUACGAUAGGCAUAGUCCCAGAUUUGAGAAGAGAGUUGAAGAAGAAUUUUUCAGUUUGACAAUAUAUCAAAUAGAUGAUAGGUAGAUCAAUUAUUAUGAAAGAAUUGGUUGAUUAAGGCGAUAAUAAUACCAGAAACAGAGAGUAGCAAGAUAUUAGAAGCAGAGAAAUCACAGGAUCACAAGAUAAUAACAAUCCUAAGCUCUGAUACCAUGAAAGCUAGCAAGAAUCAUCACAAAGAUGAACAGAGAAGUGAAUAGAAUUAGAGGGAGAUACUGCAAUGCAGAGGAAGAAGAAAAACAUUUCUGCAUAUAUUCACUUAUAUUUUUACCAACAUUGUUACAUACAUUCAUUUUAUAUGAACCAAGAUGAGAAGCUUGUUUACGUAAUCUAAUCAACAAUAACAGACUUUGUUAACUAUCUAACAAUAUUAACAAACUUUUUAACCAUUAUAUUCUUUAUUCUCUUGACAGGGCAGAAGCAGAGCCUUUGAUAUCUUGACAAAAGUAAAACACAAGGAAAUGCAUGCAUGCACACCACUAAUCUUUGAUUCUGGCGAGAACAGUGAUGACUACACUCUGAACCAAAUAGAAUUACAUUCCGAGAUGAAGAAAUUAAUAACACAGAGCAGUGCUAUAAAGCUACAUGUGAAACCAGAGAUUAAUAAGCAAUGCUGAAAAUUUUAUCAAGCAUAAGACGAGAGAAGCAUAGGACAUAUUUUUCCCACAAUUGAAUAUGUGAAUUGAGCACAGAUUUCCCUGUUGCAAACUGUUCCUAAUUUCUCAAAUGAUUAACUAGAAUACGAGUUGCACUUAAAAUUUUAAAGCAACAUAUAUGCUCUUGAUUUUUAGUGAAUUGCUGAAACAAACAUACAAGCUCGAUCACACCUCUAGAACAGAGUGACAGUUCAUGGUGACCUCAAAGACUGCAUCAAGUCCUCCAAGCUCUCGUAACUUUUCCCUAAAGCCCCCCCCAGUCUUCCUUAAUUACCAUGCCAGAUGUAUCUGAAUGAAUGCAACCCAUACAGUGAAAUGAAUAAGCAAUCAGAAAAGGAGAGAGAGAGAGUGAAAAAAUUUGUCACAAAACUAGAUAAUGGCGACCACAUAUCAAUAAUUCGAGAUAUGACGUGGGGCACUUUCAUCGUGAUUAUUGUUUGUCCAAUAAUGUUGGAUGUAUUAUUUCUUGUUAAGACUUUUUAGGUUGUGAAAAGUCCAAGAUGUAGUAUAAUAAAAUAAAUAUAACCUUUGAUUUUAUCAUUUAUAUUGAGCUGAAAUUUUGACAUACAAUUCUAAAGAUUUUGUGGUUAAAAUUUCAAGAUCUUAAAAAAAAGACCUUUAAAUAAGGAUUUAAAGUUACUAUGAGAUGGUCUUUAUUUACCUAUUUGGUAUUGUUUUUAUUUAUAUUAGGAAUUUUAAUUUAAUUAGUAUUUUAUUAUUAAAAAAUUCUAAUAAUAGAUUGAUUCUAUUAGUUAGGCAAGUUUUAAAUACAAUUUAUUUUUCUAUACAAAAUUUUAUAUCUAGAACAAAUAUAAAUAAAAAUAUUUAGUUUAUUUUUUGUUCGGGUAUUCAUAUUAUUAUUAAGAUUUUUUAAAAAUAUUUAGAGAUUUUUUUUUAUUUCGCUAUUGUGUUAGGACUAUAACCUUAAGGUUUGGAUGUUUGUGAAAGUGGAAGCGGUUACUUUUUAAAAUGUUUUUCACUUAGAAAUGCAUCAAAAUCAUAUAUAUAUUUUUUAUUUUUUAAAAUUAAUUUUUGACAUCAAAACAAUGCAAAAACACCAAAAAAUUAAUUUGAAAAAAAAUCAAAAAUUUUGAAAACCUCGAUCAAAAUGUUGUACCAAACACCCUCUUAGUUUUAUCUUAUUUUUAAAAAAUAAUUCUUGAUAUUAGCAAACAAAACAAUUUAAUAACACAAAAAAAUUAAUUUUAAAAAAUCAAAAUCUUAAAAAACUCUCGUCUAAAUGUUUGCUUUUAGUUUUAUCAUCGUUGCACUGCGUAAAGAUGCUAAAAAGAAAAUAGUUGAUAUAGCCACCUAAGUGCUGGUGGUGUUUCAGAGUGUAGUAGCGAUUGUUUUUUAAAGUGUUUUUUACUCGGAAAUGCAUUAAAAUAAUAUUUUUUUAUUUUUAAAAAAUUAUUUUUAACAUCAGCAUAUCAAAAUGAUCUGAAAAUACUGAAAAAAAUAUUAAUCUAAAUUAAAUAAAAAAAUAAAAAAAAAUCAAUCUCUUUUAAAAAUAUUUUUAAAAUGCAGAAACAAACAGGAUCUCUCAACCUGCUACAAAUAACUGCUGCAAUGGCCUUUCUUUAAUAUUUUACUUACACCAUUCUGCACAAUAUUUUCUUUUGUACAUCCAUGGAACCCUCUUUGCCUUCUACACAAAUUCAAAGCCCAUGCUAAAAACUACAAGGAAAUGAUCUCUACCUUUCUACAAGUUAAAGGCUUUUGGUACUUUCCGUCCUUCUUGGGAAGACCCAUCUCAGUUCAAGAACACUUCGAGCCUCAAUCCACUGAUAUAUUUGUCGUCAGCUUCCAAAAACGAAGGAAAUCUUUGGUUAAUGUUCUCUAAUAAGUACUAACACCUUUUCUCCUUCAACAGUGAAAUUUACGUGCCUUUCACACCUUUUUACGUUCGAACAUUUCAUUUGUUCUUGUGCUCUAAAUUCUAAAUUGAGUCUGUUUUUGUGAGUUCCAUUCUUCUAUUUAAAAGAUUAGAAAACGCAAGAUUGCAUCAAUGCUAAAUGCAAUUUCAAUAUCUGUGUGUGUGUCAAAUGCAUGGUGAUGUUACAUGAUGUGUUUGUUUUUACGUUUCAAAAAUAUUUUUUUAAAAUUAAAUUUUAUUUAUUUAUUUUUUAUUUUAAAUUAAUAUUUUUUAGUUUUUUCGGAUUAUUUUAAUUUACUGAUAUCAAAAUUAACUUUUUUAAAAUAAAAAAAAUAUUAUUUUAAUACAUUUCUGAGUAAAAAAUACUUUGAAAAGUAACUGCUACUACACUUCCAAAUAUACCCUUAAAAAAACAAAGUUAUGGAGUUGGAGGCUCUAAAUAUUCCUCAAAAUAUCAAGUCUUAAGGGCUCGGAGCUAUUAUCCAGUCUUAAAAUUUUUGCAUUUUAAAAAUAUUUUUAAAAAAAUGAAUAUUUUUUACUUUUUUUUAUUUUAAACUAUAUUUUUUUCUUUCUGUUUUUAUAUUGUUUUUAUGUAAAAAAUAAAUUUUAAAAAAUAUAAAAAUAUUUUUUUAAAAACAAUCACCAUACAAUAACAAAUAAAAUAUUAAUAUGAAAUAAAAUCUAAUUCUACCAGCAGACAGCUGAUAAGAAUACUAAAAAAGUGUAAAUUUUGACUUAAUUCAAUUAUUAGAAUUUGGGGCAGCGUAACAGUGUCAAAGAAAAUGUCAGAAAAGUAGGGCAAACAGUGCAAAUACCUUGGAUGAUGGUGACCAAAUAUUUGUAAUUUGAGACAUCUCGUUCUUGAAAAGAAAUAGUUAAUAGUGCCAAUAAUUUUUUUUUAUUAAUUUGAGGUGUUCAGACCAGUUUGCAUGCACCUCGACUAAUACUUACGGUUCUUGAAGUUAACGAAUAAAUAAGCCUCCAGUGGCCAUCAAUAUUAACAACUACAAGGCUCGAACUUGAGACCACAGGGGGGCAAACCCCUUGAUCCAAAACUCUUACCACUUGACCACCUACUAGAUGGUUAGUACCAAUAAUUAAUUUGCUCUCAACUUGCUACAAAUAGCUGCCAUGAUCACAUAUUCAAGAAACACUAGUUUAAGAGCUUGGGAUCAAGAGGUUUGCUCCCUCUGUAGUCUCAGGUUCAAGCCCUGUGGUUGCUCAUAUGAUGGCCACUGGAGGCUUACAUGGUCGUUAACUUCAGGGCCCGUGGGAUUAGUAGAGGUGCGUGUAAGCUGGCCCGGACACCCACGUUAAACUAAAAAAAAAAAAACACUAGUUUAUAAACCCUGAGGGGUAGCUCAACUGGUUAGAUUUUGAGUAUGUUUCCUAAUAAUCACGAGUUUGAGUUCUUUUAGGCCAACUGGAGGCUUACAUAGUUUUAAACUUCAGGACUCGUGAAAUUAGUAAAGGUACAUACAAAUUCAGUGGUGGAGCCAGAAAUUUUUAAAUGAGGAGGCAAAUUACUAACAAAUAUUUGAUAUUAUAUGCUAUACAUAUAUAUGUUAUAUAUAGAAAUGAAUUUGAAAUACAUGUGCCUCAAGUCAAGCAAAAUUAAUUUAAGAAUACUUUUAAAAUGAAAAAAACUUAUGUUAUAAUUGUUUUCUUCGAGAUUUUAUAUUUUAAAACUGCUUCAUAAUAAUUUUAUUUUUAAUUUCAUUAAAAAUAUAUUUCUCAAUAUAUACAACAAACUUUCAUUUAUCUAUUUCUAAAUCUUCCAAGUACUAGGAAAGUUGUUGACAACAAUUUUAUGCUGACAUAUGGUACAUAACAUCUAAAAUCAUAUCUUAAAAGAAUUGUCAUAAAUUGAAGUUGUUCUUACUGACUUGUUGUUUUGUACAAGUAGAUUAAAUAUAAAUAUUAAAUGUUUUUUUAAAUUUAUCUAUUAUGUCUCUAAUUUUUUUAGUUGUCUUAUACUUCAUUUUUAAUCAUUAGUAAAUUCAUUAUCAUCGUUUUUCAUAUGAAAUUCAUAACAAAACUUAUCAAUUCAUCAAAACUCAUUUCAAUUCAUAUCCAUUAGCAUAUAAUAUUACCCAUACACAUAUUAAUUCAACAAACCCAUAAAUUAUUAUAAACCCUAACAUUUUUAAUAACUAAUUUUUGGAGAUGUAGACCCAGUAUUUUUGGAGCUUCCAUAUCUAGUUGACCUAUCAGGAAGAGAUGAAGUUAACGUUUGGGAAUGCGGUGCAAACCAUGUUCCCCUAAAAUUAAAUUUUUUUUUGUUAAAAAUUAAUUUUUUGGUAUAUUUUGGAUCGUUUUGAUGCGCUGAUCUCAAAAAUAAUUUUUAAAAAAUAAAAAAACAUCAUUUUGAUGCAUUUCGGCACAAAAAAUACUUUGAAAAGCAACUGUAACCACACUCCUAUACAAGUAAAGUCUCUAACAGCACAAGUAUAAAAAAUAUAACUGCUGGGCAAACCAACUCUUUUCUCAAACCCAUCAGUUGCCUCAUGAUAUAUAUAUAUAUAUACACAUAUAUAUAUAUAUAUAUAUAUAUAUAUAUACACACACACACCAUGCAUAGAAUUCAUGGAUAAAAGAAAGGAAUUGGAUCUGAUUUGAGGUGGGGGGAUUGCCCCCUCUUGCCUUUAUGUGGCUCCGCCACUAUAUAAAUUAGUUUGGAUAUUUACAUUAAUUAAAAAAAAAAUACUGGUCUAGAAAAGCGAUCUACAAGGUGAUUAUUUAGUUGACUAAUUGAAUCUGUUUUUUAUAAAAAAAAUAUUUUAGAAGAUAAUUUUUAAUAAUUUUAGAUUUUUUUAUAUAUAAAUAUCAAAAAUAAAAUUAAAAAAAUAACAAAAUAUUAUUUUAAUAUAAUUUUAAAUAAAAAACACAUUUAAAAAAACUUAAUAGUAUACUCUCAACCAAGGUUGUCAAUUCCGUUUCGGUAGGUGUUUCGUUUUUUUAAUUGGAAUGGAAUGUUUCAGUUUCGGAGUGUUUCGGCGUGCCGUUCCGGGGUUGUACUGUUCAUAUAUAUAUAUUCAACAAACAUAAUUCAAAUUCAAGAUAAAUUAAUUAUAAAUUAUGCAAUACAAACACAAUGCCAAACAAAUAUAAUUUCAAAAUUUAAAAUAUUUCUAAAUAGUCAAGAUUAAAUAGAUCUUUACCUUAAAGUAAUUCAACUUAAACAAAAUAUCAAAAUAUUAUGAAAGUAAAAUGUUUUAACAUAAAUAUUUUAAAUAUAAAGUUAGGUCAAUGUUAUCAAGGCUAAUUGAAUCUAAAGCAUCCCUUGGUUUGCUCAAAUUUCUACAAAGUAUAAACAUGAAAAAAAAACAUGAAUAUAAACCUUAUAUAUUAGUGAUAAAUCUAAUUUUAAAAAAUUAAUAUCAUUGUUAAUGAAAAUAGUAAUAAUAAUUUUCAAUAUUAUUAUUAAUAUCAUUGUUAUUGAAAAUAGUAAUGAAAAAGAGCCUUUUAUAAUUGGGUGAUUUAAUUAAUUAAAUUGAACAAAAUUCAAUUUGAUUCAAUGGAUUUUCAAGAACGGAACGAAACAAGUGGAAUGAAACCGGAACGUUCCGGGUGGAAUUUAGCCGAAAAAUACAGAACAGACCGAGAUUUAAAAUAAAAUGAAAUUUAUUUUAUUUUUUAAAUUGGUAUGAAAUAUUUCGUUUAUUUCAUACGAAACAAAACAGAAUUGACAACUUGCUCUCAAGCACCCAAAAUAGAGGAUUCAAUUGUAUUGUGGGUUCCACACCAUUUAAAGCUUGCAAAGAAGGAUUUGAAACACAAUCACACUAAAGAUUUGCAAUGGAAUAUAAUAUAAAAUAAUACCCAAUGGCAUCAGCGGACAUGUAAUCAAUAAUAUUAAAAUACAGUAAAUUUUGAUUUAAUUCAAUUAUUGGAUUCUAGGCAGCGUGACAAUGUCAGAAAAUCUUGGAUGAUGGUGACCAAAUAUAUCAGUAAUUUGAGACAACACGUUCCCGAAAGGUAAUAGCUGAUGGUGCCAAAAAUUAAACCAGCUCUCAACUCGCUACAAAUAGCUGCCAUGGCCUUUCAUUCUACCUUAUAUUUCUUUUUUAACUUUCAUGGAAUCCUCUUUGCCUUCCUCCCAAAUCUUGGAUUCUGAUGGAAAUGCUGAGAGGAAAAAUGAAGCUAAAAAUUACAAUGAAGUGAUGUCCACCCUUCCAAAAGUUAAAGGCUUGAGGGGGGAUGAUUAUUACCUGUACCAAGGCUUUUGGUACGCUCCCUUCUUCUUGGAAAGACUCAUGUCUGUUCAAGAGCACUUCCAUCCUCAAUCCACUGAUAUAUUUGUCGCCAGUUUUCCAAAAACUGGCACAACUUGGCUUAAGGCCCUCACUUUUGCUAUUUUCACACGAUCCCGUUUAAGUGGUUCAACAACUAGUUCUUUACUUUCCAAGAUGCCACAUGACUGUGUUCCUUUUUUGAAUUAUAACCUUGCUCAAAACCCCAGUAAUCGGGACUUGACAAUUCCUCUGCUAUCUACUCAUGUUCCUUACAGUUGUUUACCUAAAUCUAUCAUUUCUUCUUGUUGCAAGAUUAUUUACAUUUGCAGGGACGCAAAGGAUGCUUUUGUUUCUUUGUGGUACUUUCAUGCCACGUUGCAAAGGUCGAAAAAUGUUGAGCCUCUUCCUCUGGAAGAGGCUUUUGAGCUGUUCUGCAAUGGAAUUGCAAAUUUUGGACCCUACUGGAACCAUGUUUUAGGGUACUGGAGAGCAAGCUUGGAGUUCCCCGAGAAGAUACUGUUCUUGACAUAUGAGGAAAUGAAGAAAGACACCGCUGCUCAUGUUAAGAAAUUAGCUGAGUUCAUGGGUUGUUCUUUCACCCUAGAGGAAGAGGAGGAAGGGGAGGUGCAAAAGAUAAUAGGCAUGUGUAGUUUUGAGAAGUUGAGCAACUUGGAGGUGAAUAAAAAUGGGAAGUGCCUUCUAGACAUAUCAAUUCCUAUUCCAAAUAGUAUAUUCUUCAGGAAAGGUGAGAUAGGCGACUGGGCAAAUCACUUGACACCUGAAAUGGGAGCACGUCUAGAUGACAUAAUGGAGCGGAAGCUCAAGGGUUCAGGCUUGAAGCUGCCCAGGUGACUGUGCCUGGGCCCCGUUUGCUUAUUAUUAUUGGCUUAGUGGGUUCGUCAAAAGCUGUUAUCAACAUCUCGUGAAACAGCAACCGUGUAUCCCAAUAAAUACCCUCUCUGUUCAUCUCUUGUAUUUCCUAGCAAGUAUUCACAUUUUGUGAAUCAUCCAUGUCAAUAAGCAAUAUUCUUUUGUGAAUCUGUGUUUGUAACUUUCAUUGAUUUCCUUGCAAGUUUGUAAGAAUUAAAAAUGGGAUUCGUUUUUUAUUUAUUUAUUUAACACAAGUGCAUGCAUUCCAUUAAUCAGUGAUAAAAAAAAAUAAAAUUACUCUACUAUAUAAUAUUAGAGUGUUUUCUUCACAGAAAUUGCAGUGUGUUUUCUUCACACUGCAAUACAUGUUUUAAAAGAACCGAGACAACCAUACAUGAGGGCGGAGCAAAUACCAACCGAGACAACCAUCCAUUAAGAUUGUUGAAUUGAAGAUCAAAUGAACAUAGGCGGCACAUCUGCUGAAAGGAUCUCGAAAUGCCUUGUAAUUGGUUAAAAUAAAGAUCAAGAUCUGUAGGAGAACUCGUGUUUUCCACUCCUAAAAUAAGCCCAGUUGCCGGCUUCAUGUGCAACAGAGGCACAUAGAGAAUCUCCCCCCCCCCCCCUCCAGGCUCAGAUCACAAAUCUUCUUACUUCAAACCAAUCUUUUGGAACCGAUAUAUAUGUCGAGUGAUGGCUUGAUUUAUACCGGAGAUUGUGUUGGAAAAUUAAAGAAGCAUGGCUUAAUUUGUACCUUGGAUGCGCAAAUUGAUUACAGGAAAAUAUCAAAAAAAAAUUUCCUUUCUUUAUAACUUAUGAAGAGUAAAAUAAAAAAAAAGUUAAUAGUAAAACAAAAUAACCCCAAGUGUACAUUAUCAAUGCAAAACUAGAUUUUUCCUUAUUUUAUAUCCCUUUCUUUUGAUAUACUUCUUCUUUUAUGCCCCUUUCUUUUGGUAUAUCUCUUCUUUGUAUCUUUUGGUGUUAAUCACUUUGUUGAAUGCCUCUGUUGAUAUCUUUUAUAACUCACUACAGUGAUUUGAACAUUGAAAAUGUUUCCUUUUAAAAAAAAAAAAUAGAGAAGGCAUUUUGAUUUCAUCUUCAAUUUUUCUGCAUGUCUUCUUCUUUCAAAGUAUUGGGUUUAAAACACAAUCAUGCUCUACAUCAUGCUUUGAGUUUUCCAGGUUAUUUUCAGAAAGAUUUGAUAUAUUUGACCUGAAAGAAAAAAAGGAUGUACAAAGCUUUGCAUUUCUGGAACGUCUUUUCAUCAUGCUCUACAUGAUUCAAUCACAUUGCUCACAUCUACAUGAGUAACCAGAAAAGCAAGUAUUUCAUCGGAUUCUACAUGAUUCGAUCACUUCGCUCACAGCUUUAUGAGUCUCUGGUGAUAUCGUGUUUAAUUAAAUAGAAUAUUUAUUAUAAGAAACAGAUUUAUCAAAUAUAAUUGAGUAUAUGCCUCAUCAUAUCAAAUAUUUUAAUUAGAUGUAACUAUCUAGGUGGUGGUUCAGUGGUAAAAGUUUGGGACCAAGAUGUUUGUUCCCUCUGUGGUCUCAGGUUCGAGCCCUGUGGUUGCUCAUAUGAUGGUCAUUGGAGGCUUACAUGGUCGUUAACUUCAGGGCCCGUGGGAUUAGUCAAGGUGCACGCAAGCUGAUCCGGACAUCCAUGUUAAACUAAAAAAAUAUAUAUAUUUUAAUUAGAUGCGUGUGUACAAGUAUUUUAAUUUAUGAUUAAGAAUUUUUUUAUAUCAAAAAAAAAUUAAAAAGUCUGUAUAUUUAUUUUUCCUUGUUAAAACAAUUAUCUGAAAUAGCCAGUAAUCAACUAACUAUGAAAGAUAAGAUUGAGAAUUGAGAAGUUUAUUUGUCAGCAGACAGUAGCUUCAGUAGAUGGAAAAAGACUCUCUAGAUCACCGGAUCAAUUCCCACCUUCAUGAACUAUUUUUUAUUAGUACAGAAAGCUUCAUAUCAGUCAAAACUCUCUCUCUCUCUCUCUCUCUCUCUCUCUCUCUCUAAAUGGAUCAGAGACUACACAAAUAUAGAGGUGGAGCUUCACAUUAAGCUUCAGAUCAAUUUUCUAUUUUAAAAUCUCAUAAGUUUGGUCCAUUGAUUGCCCUAGAUUGCCCUAGAUUUUCCUGUGUUUUAUAUCCUUUUCUUUUGACAUUUUUUUUAAUCUUUUUCCAGGCCAAAAUCCUAAUUUAAUGUUUGAAAUUGAGAUGAUAAUUAUUUAACUAGAAAAUAUAUUAAAAUAAUAUUUUUUAUUUUUAAAAAUUUAUUUUAAUCAUCACCACAUUAAAACAAUCUAAAAUUAUAUAAAAAAAUUAAAAUAAUAAGAUUUAAAAAUAUUUUUUAAACACAAAAACAAACACAAUCAUCACUCAUAUAUCAUGAGAUUUGCAUUUAGACAUUAAAAUUCAAGAAGAAAUUAAGUUCACCGUACUAUUAAUUCAGUCGAUGAAGGAUUAGUCCCAACUACUUUAGGCCACCAUUAAUUACUUUAUUUAAAUGUAUACUUCUUUAUUAAUUCAGUCGAUGAAGGAUUAGUCCCAACUACUUUGGGCAUUUUAACUCCAUCUUCAAUUACUUUAUUUAAAGGUAUCCUUCUUUCUUAGAUAUUGAAUUUUGAAAACACAAUCAUGCUAAAGAUUUGUCAACGAAUUGUUUUUUAAAAUAAAAAAAUAUUUUAAAAAAUAAUUAAUACCAUACUACCGAGCAAAUGAAGUUAUGUGGAGGGUUCCGCACCAUUUAAAGGUUGUAAAGAAAGGUUUAAAACACAAUGACGAUAAAGAUUUGCUAUCGAAUAUAAUAUGAAAUAAUAAUACCCAAUUGCAUCAGCGGACAUGUGAUCAACAAUAUUAAAAUUCUGUAAAUUUUGAUUUAAUUCAAUUAUUGGAAUUCCAGGCAGCGUGGCAAUGUCAGAAAAUCUUGGACGAUGGUGACUAAAUGUUUGUAAAUGGAGACGGCACGUUCGCGGAAGGUAAUAGUCGAUGGUGCCAAAAAUUAAAUCAGCUCUCAACUCGUUACAAAUAGCUGCCAUGGCCUUUCAUUCUACAUUAUUUUUUCUUUUUUCACAUUCAUGGAAUCCUCUUUGCCUUCCACCCAAAUCUUGGAUUCUGGUGAAAGUGCUGAGAGGAAAAAUGAAGCUAAAAAUUACAAUGAAGUCAUGUCCACCCUUCCAAAAGUAAAAGGCUUGAAUGGGUGUGAUUAUUACCUGUACCAAUGCUUUUGGUACGAUCCCUCCUUCUUGGAAGGAAUCAUGUCUGUUCAAGAGCGCUUCAAUCCUCAAUCCACUGAUAUAUUUCUCGCCAGUUUUCCAAAAACUGGCACAACUUGGCUUAAGGCCCUCACUUUUGCUAUUUGUACACGAUCCCGUUUAAGUGGUUCAACAACUAGUUCUUUACUUUCCAAGAUGCCACAUGACUGUGUUCCUUUUAUGGAAUAUGACCUUGCUCAGAACCCAAGUAAUCGGGACUUGGCAAUUCCUCUGGUAUCUACUCAUGUUCCUUACACUUGUUUACCUAAAUCUAUCAUUUCUUCUUGUUGCAAGAUUAUUUACAUUUGCAGGGACGCAAAGGAUGUUUUUGUUUCUUUGUGGUACUUUCUUGCCAGGCUGCAAAUGUCUGAAAAUGUUGAGCCUCUUCUUCUGGAAGAGGCUUUUGAGUUGUUUUGCAAUGGAAUUGCAAAUUUUGGACCCUACUGGAACCAUGUUUUAGGGUACUGGAGAGCAAGCUUGGAGUUCCCCGAGAAGAUACUGUUCUUGACAUAUGAGGAAAUGAAGAAAGACACCGCUGCUCAUGUUAAGAAAUUAGCUGAGUUCAUGGGUUGUUCUUUCACCCUAGAGGAAGAGGAGGAAGGGGAGGUGCAAAAGAUAAUAGGCAUGUGUAGUUUUGAGAAGUUGAGCAACUUGGAGGUGAAUAAAAAUGGGAAGUGCCUUCUAGACAUAUCAAUUCCUAUUCCAAAUAGUAUAUACUUCAGGAAAGGUGAGAUAGGCGACUGGGCAAAUCACUUGACACCUGAAAUGGGAGCACGUCUAGAUGACAUAAUGGAGCGGAAGCUCAAGGGUUCAGGCUUGAAGCUGCCCAGGUGACUGCGCCUGGGUCCCAUUUGCUUCUGAUUAUUGCCGAAGUGGGUUCAUCAAAAGCUGUUAUCAACAUCUCGUGAAACAGCAACUGUGUAUCCCAAUAAAUACCCUCUCUGUUCAUCUCUUGUAUUUCCUAGCAAGUAUUCACAUUUUGUGAAUAAUCCAUGUGAAUAAGCAAUGUUCUUUUGUGAAUCUGUGUUUGUAACUUUCAUUGAUUUCCUUGCAAGUUUGUAAGAAUUAAAAAUGGGAUUCGUUUUUUAUUUAUUUAUUUAACACAAGUGCAUGCAUUCCAUUAAUCAGUGAUAAAAAAAAAAAAAUUACUCUACUAUAUAAUAUUAGAGUGUUUUCUUCACAGAAAUUGCAGUGUGUUUUCUUCCCACUGCAAUACAUGUUUUAAAAGAACCGAGACAACCAUACAUGAGGGCGGAGCAAAUACCAACCGAGACAACCAUCCAUUAAGAUUGUUGAAUUGAAGAUCAAAUGAACAUAGGCGGCACAUCUGCUGAAAGGAUCUCGAAAUGCCUUGUAAUUGGUUAAAAUAAAGAUCAAGAUCUGUAGGAGAACUCGUGUUUUCCACUCCUAAAAUAAGCCCAGUUGCCGGCUUCAUGUGCAACAGAGGCACAUAGAGAAUCUGAAAGCAGUUUUUAUGCACUAUCAGCAGAAUAAUUUGAUCAGUCAGAAUGAUCCCCCCCCCACUAGGCUCAGAUCACAAUUCUUCUUACUUCAAACAAAUCUUUUGGAACCGAUAUGUGGAGGGAUGGCUUGAUUUAUACCGGAGAUUUUGUUGGAAAAUUAAAGAAGCAUGGCUUAAUUUGUACCUUGGAUGCGCAAAUUGAUUACAGGGAAAAAAAUGACAGAAAGUGAGUUGCAGGGAAUGAAAAAGGCAUUAGUAAACUCAACAGCUUGCAGGGCAUCGUUCCUUGGUUUACUCCGUUUUAUUUCUUAUUUUGUUUUUCCUGCCAUUGUCUUAUGUUUGUCUAACUCGCAGUCUGGUCUCUGCAGAGAAUGAGAAAGCACAGACUCUUUAAGAGAAGAUAUUCUCCGGCAAUGGCAUCAAACAGAAAAGUCCGACGUUAACUAAAUGAGUUCAUGGGUCUCUUGUCUGAAUAUAGAAGUGCAGAAACUAAGCUUGACCAAAAACCCCCAUGCUACCAACUACAACUCAACAAGCAACAAAUCAAAUGAAUUGUGAUCCGCCAGUAAACAGCGAAUGGACACUGCCCCAGCAAUAGAUCAUACAAGCUCUGACCAACCGGUCAAAGAUCACGAGGACCCUACCCACUGCCCACUGACUGACAAUUCAUCAAAUAGAUUUAUUGCCGUUCACCACCUUAUUUAGAUGUAUUUUUAAAUAAUAUCCGUGAACUCAAAAAAAAAUCACUCAAAUAUCUCCCUAGAAAACUGACCUUGAACUCUUAACUAGGAGAAAAACAAAGAGGAAAAAUAGAGCUUAUAACAUAGGAAACUACGCUGAAAACUGAGGUGAAAAAAAGUGUAAGAAAUUCUGUAAAAAUGUCCAGAAACACUUUUUAUCACUUUUUACAGAGGAUUUUGAAACCUAAACCAAUGUAGAUUUACUUUUAGUAAUUAUUAAAAAUUAAUUUUUAUCAUUAUCAAUCUUAAUUAUCCGUUAUAAAUUAAAAUUAACCUUAACCCUUUUAGCUUUAAAUAUAAUGCUUUGUUAGAAUUAUAAAAACCAUUCAAAUUGAAAAAAAUUGCUUAGGCUGAAAAAAGUGUUCAGACUCUAUAUUCAUUGACAGUACAAACUGAUGGAUUAGAAAGAAAAAAAAUAUAUAGGCCAAAAAAUUAUAAAUCCAAACCCAAGUUUAAAAUAUAUUGAUAAAAAUUAAUUAUUUAUAGUUUACAAUAAAAUCAGACUUGGGACAAGCAAGCCAAUUAAGCAUGGGACUUCAACUCAAAGUUUACUUUACUUAGGUUUUUUUUUUUAAUCUGAGUGUAUUUUAAUCCAAUUUUAAUUCUUUAUAUUUUUAAUAUAUAAUUAACAAUAAAAAUGUUGUUUUUUUUACGUGAAAUAAAGGUUUUGAAUUUCACAAAGAUAUAUUCAUCAACAAAAUUAAAUUUUUAUUUAUUUAUAAUUUAUUUUAAUUAUUUUAAUAUUUUAUGUUAAAGAGAUUUGGUUGGAGAAUAAGUUUCAAUAAAAUUUAAAUCCGAAAAAUAAGUAGAUUUUAUUUUUAAUUUUAUUUCAAAUAUAUUUAUUUUUUAUGUUUUAAAACAAAUUUUAUCUCAUCUAUGUAUGUAUAAAUAUAUAAUCACAAUUCUCAAUACAGCACUUAUAGUUAGUUAUCGAACGAAAGAAUGUUAUCUCUUUCAGUAUGCCACAGAUAUUCAAAACACGGCGGUCACCCUUAUUAGCUUGCAGUCGUCUAUCGAAGUAUUAUCGCCAAAUCCACAGAAGCAAGGCAAACCACAGUUUUCUCUAGUUAUAGGACUAGACGGUACUGCGCUAGACUGCAGGUUUACAAUAUUUUUUCGAUAAAAUAUUUAAAUCAUGAGAAAAUCAUGCAUGAUUAAAAGAGUAAAAUUCAAAUUAAAAAUAUCAAUACAUGACAAAAUAAAAUUAAAAAAAAUUAAAUAAAAUUUUUAUAAAAAAACUAGAAUAAAAGAGAGGACUGAAACCGAAAAAGUUUAAACAAAAAGGACAUACCUGCAAUUUGAGGGGGGGAGGGAGGAGGAGAAAAAAAAAGGUUCAUCAACAACGAACUGCUCGACCUUCACCUACAUGUAUCGCACCAUGAGAAAGAGGAAGCAGUGAUGCUUCCAACAACACAAUAAAAUGUUUAUUUUUACAACUAGAGGUAUUGCAUGCUAUACUUGAAGUGCUAGCUUUUUAAAUUUUAAUAUUAUUUAUUUUUUUGUUAAAAGAUUACAAUGCGCAAACUAAAAAGAAAAACAAUAUAAAAAGAUAAAGUAUAACCUUGACCUAAAGCUUUUCUUUUUCUUUUUACUUCAAGGAUAUUUAAGUAAGUUUAGUGUACAUUCAAAAGCAUUUAAUGAAAUACCCUUCGACCAAGGUUUUUUUUUUUUUUAAAGUAUAAGACACUUAACAAAAUAAUAAAUAACAAAAAUUAAAAACUUAAAAAGACAAAAAAUACCCUUCGACCAAGGUUUUUUUUUUUUACUCCAAAGCAUUUAAUGAAUCUCGCCCAUAACGACAGCAAGUCUUUAAAAAGUGGAUUUCCUGAUGAAACCUGGAUAGUAUCAGUGCCAGCUCGAGCUCAGAAUGCGGCAUCUAUUGAUUAACUUACCAGUUACCAACACAAGGAGACACACACAACAACUUUAAAAAGGGCAUUAUAUAGCUAAACAUUGAUUAUUAUUUUUAUUUCAUUUUUAAUAUUAUAUUAAUUUUAAAUAUAUAUAUUUUUAAUUUCUCCAUUCAAUAACAAGUUGAAAUUCAUAAUUUUAUUUAAUUCAUUUCUUAUAAUAAUUUUUUUCCCAUCGUUUAAUUAAAUAAAAUAUUUAUUAUAAAAAAUAAAAUUAUUAAACAUAAUUGAGUAUAUGGCUUGUAUUUUUAGGUUAAAUAUUGUAAUUAGAUGUGGGUAUAAGCAUUUUAAUUUAUAAUUAAAAAGAAAAACUAUAUCCAAAAAAGAAUUUAAAAAACCUGUAUAUUUAUUUUUCAAUUAUCUAACCUGCAGCAGUGAAGUGCAAUUGAAAUAGCUAGUAAUCUAACUAAAAAAUUUAAGAUAAGAUUAAGAAAUGAGAAGUUUAUUUGUCAGCAGACAGUAGCUUCAGUAAAUAGAAAAUAUAGACUGUACUGCUGCUGAUCCCGGGAUCAAUGCCCACCUUCAUGGAUUAUAUAUAUAUAUAUAUAUAUAUAUAUAUUCAAUGUGAGAUAUUAAGUCAUUUAGUACAUACUAGUUAGAUGACUUGUGCGGUGCUGCGAGUUAAUUUUUUUUGCAUAAAAAUAUAUAAAAAAACUAAAAUCUAAAAGUAUUAGGUCUUUUUGCAAAGUUAUACCCAAGAAUCUUGGGUUUGGCUGCAACGCCUGACCCAAGAGUAAUAUUUAUAAUAUUAAUUAUAACAUUAAACUUGCAUGACUCAAGUUUAAAUGAGUCUAGAUGCAAUACCAUACCCAAUAGUCUUGGAUGUGGGUCUGGCUGCAAGGUCGUGUAAUAAAAGUGUGAUAAUUAAAUAGAUUAAUUAAAAAUAAAAAAAACAAAGAAAAAAACAAACAUGAAGAAAAAAACUAAUGAAGAAAAAGAAAAAAAAUUUGAAUUAACUGGGUUAACCCUUCAAACCAGGUUAAUCCGUCAAACCUUGGAUUCGUGUCGUGAAAGUUUGAUAACUAAAUAAAAAAAAAAUGAACAUUAACAAACUAAAUUAAAUGAAAAAAAUAAUUAAAAAAAAAAGCAUCAGCCUUUUCACUGUGGACUGCACUGUGCAGUCCACAGUCAAAUGCAUAAAAACAACAAAAAAGCAAAAAGAAAAACUAAAGGCAUCAAUCGAUAACUAAAUAGAAAAAAAAUUUAAUAUUGAUGAACUAAAUUAAAUAAAAAAAAUUAAAUAAAAAGAAGAAAAAACUUAUAAGAAGAAAAAAACUAAUGAAGAAAAAGAAAAAAAAUCUAAAUUAACUGGGUUAACCCGUCAAACCUGAGAUCCGUGUCAUGAAAGUCUGACAACUAAAUAAAAAAAAUUUAAUAUCAAUAAACUAAAUAAAAAAAUUAAUUUAAAAAAAAGGCAUCAGCCUUUUCACCGUGGAUUGCACUGUGCAGUCCAUAGUGAAAGGCAUGAAAAUAAAAAAAACAAAAAAAAACUAAAGGCAUCAGCCUUUUCACUGUGGACUGCAUAGAAUAUUAAAAGAUGAAAUCGGAAGAACAAAACUAAUGAGGAAAAAGAAAAAAAAAAUCUGAAUCAACUAGGUUAAUCCGUCAAAUCAAGUUAACCCGUCAAACUUGAAAGUGUGAUAACUAAAUAGAAAAAAGAUUUAAUAUUAAUGAAAUAAAUUAAAAAAAGAUUAAUUAAAAAGGAAAAAAGCAAAGAGAAAAAAGACCAACAGGAAGAAAAAAACCUAAUGAAGAAAAAGGAAAAAAAUCUGAAUUAAGUGGGUUAACUGGUCAAACCUGGGAUUCGUGUCAUGAAAAUCUGAUAAUUAAACAGAAAAAAUUUAAUAUUAAGAAACUAAAUUAAAAAAAGACUAAUUAAAAAAAGACAAAAAAAAACUAAAGGCAUCAGCUUUUUCACUCUUAAAAAGGAAAAGAGAGAAAAAUAAAAACAAAAGCAAACGCCACGGGUUAAUUUUUUUUUUCUUGCAUAAAAAAUAUUAAAAAAAACUAAGAUCUAAGAGUAUUAGGUCUUUCUGCAAAGAUAUGCCCAAGAGCCUUUGGUUUAGUUGCAACGCUUGACCCAAGAGUAAUAUUUAUAAUAAUAAUAAUAAUAAUAAACUUACAUGACUCAAGUUUAAGUGAGUCUGGCUGCAAGGUCGUGUCAUAAAAGUGUGAUGAUUAAAUAUAUUAAUUAAAAAGAAAAAAACCAACAUGAAGAAAAAAACUAAUGAAGAAAAAGAAAAAAAUAUGAAUUAACUGGAUUAACCCUUCAAACCAGGUUAACCCGUCAAACCUGAGAUUCAUGUUAUGAAAGUUUGAUAACUAAAUAGAAAACAAAAUUGACGGGUUAACCUGUCAAGCCUGGGAUACGUGUCAUGAAAGUCUGAUAAUUAAAUAGAAAGAAAUUUAACAUUAACAAAAUAAACUAAACGAAAAAAAAUUAAUUUAAAAGAAAAAAAGUAAAAAAAAAAUUCUAGGUUAACUCAUCAAACCAAAUUAACCCAUCAAAUCCGGGAUCCGUGUCAUGAAAGUCUGAUAACUAAAUAAAAAAAAUAACAUUAACAAACUAAAUUAAACAAAAAAAAUUCAUAAAAGAAAAAAAAACACAGAAAAAAAACAAAAAAAACAUAAAGGCAAAAAAAACAAAAACAAAAUUAAGUGAGAAUUACUGAUGUGCUUUGCCAAGCUUUGCAACAGAAAUCUCAAGACAUUUUAAAUGCUAUGCAUUUGCUGACUACCAUAAAGACUUUAAUUCAGAAGUUAAGAGAUGAUGGAUUGGAAACUCUUUUAGAACAAGUGACAUCAUUUUGUAAGCAUAAAAACAUUGAAGUUCCUGAUAUGGAUGCUUGUUUUUCUAGUGUGGGACGAUCUCGCUGUAAAACAAAAUCAAUAACAGUUGAGCAUCACUAUCGAGUUGAUAUAUUUAUAGCUAUCAUUGAUCAAUAGUUGCAAGAGCUAAAUAAUAGAUUCUAUGAGCAGGCGAUCGAGCUUCUUAAGUUGAGCAUAGCUUUAGAUCCUAAAAAUAACUAUAAAUUAUUCAGUGUUGAAGAUAUAUGCUAACUUGUUGACAAGUUCUAUCCUGAAGACUUUUCUGACCAAGAAAAAACUCAUUUGAGAUUUCAGUUGCAGCAUUAUGAGCUUGAUGUACCCAAUCAUCCAAAGUUAAAGAAUAUGUCAUCGAUUGCUGAUUUAUGUCAAGGACUGGUUGAAAUAGAAAAAUCAACAAUUUAUCUACUCAUUGAUAAGUUGAUUCGACUUAUUUUGACUCUUCCUGUUUCGACAGCAACUACUGCACGAGCUUUUUCAGCGAUGAAGAUUGUUAAAACAAGACUUCGCAAUCGGAUGGAGGAUGAUUUUCUUGCAAAUUAUUUGAUUGUCUAUAUAGAAAAAGAAAUUGCUGAAAGAUUCACAAUUGAUAUGAUAAUCGAUGAUUUCUACUCCAUGAAAGAAAGACAAAAACAAUUAAAAUAAAUAUGUAAGAAUCAUUCUUUAUUACUUUUUAUUUUAUUUAAAAGUUUUAUCAAACAUAAAUAAUGUAUCGCUUUAGCUAAUGUUUCUUAUAUAUUUUGUAUGUUUAUAUUUGAUAGGUACAAAAACCAACAAAAUUAAAGUGAUGAAUACAUUAUGAAGAUGAAAUUAACUUCAUAGCUUUGACUUAAUUUGAUAUUUGCUUUAAACAUCUUAUCUUAUACAAAAAUCAUAAUAUGUUUGUAAUUACUUUUUUGAAUAAAACUAAAUCAUGUCGUUUUUGUUUUUGUUUUUAUUUUUAUUUUUAUGUAAAGUAAAUUUUUAAAUAAAUUAUAUCUUUUAUUAUUUUAACCCCCAUUCAAAUAAUCCCAGCCCCUGACCGCAAUAACAAUCAAAAUAAAAUCUAAUUCUACCGGCUGCUAAGAAUACUAAAAUAGUGUAAAUUUUGACUUAAUUCAAUUAUUAGAAUUCGGGGCAGAUAACAGUGUUGAAGAAAAUGUCAGAAAAGUAGGGUAAACAGUACAAAUACCUUGGAUGAUGGUGACUAACGCCGUUUGUUUACGCGGGCGCGGGUGCGGUUGCCUUUUAAUUAAUAAAUAUCGGUAGUUGGAGACUUCUUGUUCUCGAAAAGAAAUAGUUAAUAGUGCCAAUAAUUAAUCUGCUCUCAACUUGCUACAAGCUGUCAUUACUCAUUACCAAAAUAUUAAAGAAACAAAUAUUUCCUAUUAGUAGAAAAGCGAUCUAAUAAAGCGAUUGUUCAGUUGACGUUAUUGAAUUGCUUUUUUAUAAAAAGUUAAUUUUUAAAUAUUUAUAGAUUAUUUUAUAUAUAAAUUUAAAAAAAAUCUUAAAAAAUUUAAAAAUAUAUUUUAAUAUAAUUAAAAAAAACAUUUGAAAAACAAUUAAUAGUAUAGUCUCAGGUCUCAACCACCCAAAAUAUACAUUUGAAAAACAUUUUAUAUACCUUGGAUUAAAUUGUGUUGUAGGUUCCACACCAUUUAAAGCUUGCAAAGAAGGAUUUAAAACACAAUCACGCUAAAGAUUUGCAAUCCAAUAUAAUAUGAAAUAAAACCCCAUUGCAUCACCGGACAUGUGAUCAAUAAUAUUAAAAUACUGUAAAUUUUGAUUUAAUUCAAUUAUUAGAGCUUGAGGCAGCGUGACAAUGUGAAAGAAAAUGUCAGAAAAUCUUGGAUGAUGGUGACCAUAUCAGUAAUUUGAGACAGCAAGUUCUCGAAAGGUAAUAGUUGAUGGUACCAAAAAUUAAACCAGCUCUCAACUCGCUACAAAUAGCUGCCAUGGCCUUUCGUUCUACAUUAUAUUUCUUUUUUUACUUUCAUGGAAUCCUCUUUGCCUUCCACCCCAAUCUUGGAUUCUGGUGAAAGUGCAGAGAGGAAAAAUGAAGCAAAAAAUUACAAUGAAGUAAUGUACACCCUUCCAAAAGUUAAAGGCUUGAGGGGGAAUGAUUAUUACCUGUACCAAGGCUUUUGGUACUCUUCCUUCUUCUUGGAAGGACUCAUGUCUGUUCAAGAGCACUUCAAUCCUCAAUCCACUGAUAUAUUUCUCACCAGUUCUCCAAAAACUGGCACAACUUGGCUUAAGGCCCUCGCUUUUGCUAUUCUUACACGAUCCCGUUUAAGUGGUUCAACAACUAGUUCUUUACUUACCAAGAUGCCACAUGACUGUGUUCCUUUUUUGGAAUAUCACCUUGCUCAAAACCCAAGUAAUCGGGACUUGGCAAUUCCCCUGCUAUCUACUCAUGUUCCUUACAGUUGUUUACCUAAAUCUAUCAUUUCUUCUAGUUGCAAGAUUAUUUACAUUUGCAGGGACGCAAAGGAUGCUUUUGUUUCUUUGUGGUGCUUUUUUCCGCGCAUCAAAUGUCGAAAAAUGUUGAACCUCUUCCUCUGGAAGAGGCCUUUGAGAUGUUUUGCAACGGAAUUUCAGUCUUGGGACCAUAUUGGGACCAUGUUUUAGGGUAUUGGAGAGCAAGAUUUGAGUUCCCUGAGAAGAUAUUGUUCUUGACAUACGAGGAAAUGAAGAUAGACACCGCUGCUCAUGUUAAGAAACUAGCUGAGUUCAUGGGUUGUUCUUUCACCUUCGAGGAAGAGGAGGAAGGGGAGGUGCAAAAGAUAAUAAGCAUGUGUAGUUUUGAGAAGUUGAGCAACUUUGAGGUGAAUAAAAAUGGGAAGCACCGUCCCGUCCGGACACAUCAAUUGCUAUUCAAAAUAGUUUAUACUUUAGGAAAGGUGAGAUAGGCGACUGGGCAAAUCACUUGACACCUGAGAUGGGAGCGCGUCUAGAUGACAUAAUGGAGCGGAAGCUCAAGGGUUCAGGCUUGAAGCUGCCCAGGUGACCGUGCCUGGGGUCCCAUUUGCAUAUGAUUAUUGCCGAAGUGGGUUCAUCAAAAGGUGUUAUCAGGAUGUCGUGAAACAGCAACUGUGUAUCCCAAUAAAUACCCUCUCUGUUCAUAGCAAGUAUUCACAUUUUGUGAAUCUUCCAUGUCAAUAAGCAAUAUUCUUUUGUGAAUCUGUGUUUGUGACUUUCAUUGAUUUCCUUGCAUGUUUGUAAGAAUUCAAAAUGGGAUUCGUUUUUUUUUUUUAUUUAACACAAGUGCAUGCAUUCCAUUCAUCAGUUUGAUAAAAAAUAAAUUUACUCUAAUAUAUAAUAUUAGAGUGUUUUCUUCACAGAAAUUGCAGUGUGUUUUUCUUCACAGCUAUACAUGUUUGAAAAGAACCGAGACAACCAUACAUGAGGGUGGAGCAAAGACCAACCGAGACAACCAUCCAUUAAGAUUGUUGAAUUGCAGAUCAAAUGAACGUAGGCGGCACAUCUACUGAAAGGAUCUCGAAAUGCCUUGUAAUUGGUUAAAAUAAAAGAUCAAGAUCUGUAGGAGAACUCGUGUUUUCCACUCCUAAAAUAAGCCCAGUUGCCGGCUUCAUUUGCAACAGAGACACAUAAAGAAUCUGAAAGCAGUUCUUAUGCACUAUCAGCAAAAUAAUUUGACCAGUCAGAAUGAUUUUUUUCCCCCUUACUAGGCUCAGAUCACAAUCCUUCUUACUUCAAACAAAUCUUUUGGAACCGAUAUGUCGAGGGAUGGCUUGAUUUAUACCGGAGAUUUUGAUGGAAACUUAAAGAAGCGUGGCUUAAUUAUACCUUGGAUGCGCAAAUUGAUUACAGGGAAAAAAUGACAGAAAGUGAGUUGCAGGGAAUGAAAAAGGCAUUUGUAAACUCAACACCUUUCAGGGCAUCGUUCCUUGGUUUACUCCCUUUUAUUUCUUAUUUUGUUUUUCCUGCCAUUGUCUAAGUUUUUCUAACUCGCAGUCUGGUCUCUGCAGAGAAUGAGACAGCAAAAACGCUUUAAGAGAAGAUAUUCUCCGGCAACGGCAUCAAACAGAAAAGUCUGACAUCAACUAAGUGCGUGUUUGACACUCCGGUUAUGUUUACAUAAAAAACAUCGUUGUCAUGUGUUUGGUUACAGUCUAAACAUAAUUUUCUGUUUGUGAGACCCGUUAUCAUUUGCUUUUAAACCGCAAGAUAACCAAAAGCAACUUCAAGCUGCCUUUUGUGUUGAGUUGCAAACUUUAUAAACAAAGGCCACAAGAAAAAGAGCAGAAACAUAGCAGUGAAUAGUAAACAGUGGAGAGUAGCUCCCUCUCACCACCGGCAUCCACCGUUUCCACCGCCAGCCACUGCUCUUCCUCUUCCCCUUCUCCUUCUCCUUUAUCUUCUGCAUUGUCCACUGUUCACGUUGCAUGUGAACAGUGGAGAGCAGCUCACCACCGGCCUCCGCUGUUUCCACCGCCAGCCACUACUCUUCCUCUUUCCCUUCCCCUUCUUCUUCUUCUUCUACAUUUUCCACUGUUCACAUGAACAGUGGAGAGCAUCUCCACUAUUCAUGGCCGGAUUGGGUCUGACCCAAACCUAAAUGCAUUGGACUGGGUCCGACCAAGUAAAAUAAAAAAAUCUAAAAACAUUUCUUAGAUAUUGUGUUUUAUUUGAAAAACUAGUGUUUAAAAUUAUUCAAUGACACUAUAUAAUUAUAUUAGAAGGAGAUCGCAUGAUGACAUAGCAUUUGCAGAAUUUGAUUGCAAUCCCAAUUUUGUUCCUAAUGAUAUUUUACCUGAUGUGAUGAUAUUUUACCUGAUGUUGGUAUACGUUCAAGAAGCCAUGAAAACUGUAGUUCUUGUCGGAUGGAUUUCGUACGUGAUUGAAUUGCAAAUAGUUUAAUAAAACAAUAAAAAAUACUUUAUAUAAAGUAUUGUUUAUUUCAUGAUUUAAUAGCAGUAGUUAAAUCUAUAAUAUUUCAAUUAAAAACCAUCAAUAUUAAUAUAUGUUUUUUUUAAUUAUUUUAUAACCUUAAUUUGAAAAAUAUUCUUUAAACCAAACACAUUAAACUACUUUUUGUUCAACCUCAAUUUCAACCACAAUUUUAACCAAAUAUAUAUUUUUUCAAACCAAUCUCAACUAAAAGUAAUUUUUAUAAAACAACUUUUUCAAACUAUAACCACAACAGCUACCACAAUACCAAAUACACAUAAAAAAAACUGUAAUGAUAAGCAAGUUAAAGUGCCACCAUUGAUUUAGGAUCUGCUUUAGAUCUUAUAAGGUGAAAGUAAAACACAAGGAAAUGCAUGCAUGCACACCACUAAUCUUUGAUUCUGGCGAGAACAGUGAUGACUACACUCAGAACCAUAUAGAAUUACAUUCCAAGAUGAAGAAAUUAAUAACAGAGCAGUGCUAUAAAGCUAAAUGUGAGAACCAAAGAUUAAUAAGCAAUGCUGAAAAUUUUAUCAUGCAUAAGAUGAGAGAAGCACAGGACAGAUUUUAUCAAAUCUAUAGUUUUUCUUCAAUAAUAAUAAUAUUUUUUAAAAAUUUAAUAAUAAUAAAAAAAAAAAACUCAUGUUCCUUGGCUCUUUCUCUUGCCAAACUGAAGCUACCAUAGUCAAAUCCAAGUAACUUAGAUGUCACGCUCUUGCUAAACCCAAGUUAUUUGGGUAUGACAUCUCAUGCUGGACUCAUAGCAUUCCAGAUCAAAGGUGUUGAUAUCUAACAAUAAUACCUCACCCGAGCCCUAAGAUGUGAUUGCUUUUCUAGACCCGAGGGCCAAGGCACCAAGACACUAUUCACUAUAAGUCAAGUCAAUGAAUCAAUCAAUCGAUUUUAAAGAUCAAGUUUUUUUUUUAAUAGAGAAACAAAACUUUUAUUAACAUUGAAAUAACUCUUAAAAUCUUAAUAAAAUUAAUUUGAAGUAAAAAUAAUAUUAAAAGAAAUAUUCAGAAGCACUUUUUGAUUGUAAAAUCAAACACACUAAAAUCAUGUAGAUUUUCAUUUAGACAUUAAAAUUCAAGAAGAAAUUAAGUUCACAGUACUAUUAAUUCAAUCGAUGAAGGAUUAGACCCAACUACUUUAGGGCCACCAUUGACAUUGAUUACUUUGAAUAAUUUUAAUUUAUAGGCAUAAAAAAUUAAUACAUAUCUUUAAGAGGAUCAAUUUUAGAUUAUCUCUCUCUCUCUCUCUCUAUUUUUUUUUUGGUUUUCAAAUAUUUGACAUUUUCGUUUAGAUAAGCUCUAGUGUGUGUUUUUUUAAGAUUAUUUUAAAUCAUGUUUCUUGAAAUGUCAAAAACAUUUCAUGGAUUAAUUUAACUUAAUAACGCCAAAGAAUUAGGAAUUAAAACUGACAAUUUCCACCAUGUAAGAGUACCUAAUUGAAAAUUUACUUUCUUAUCAUUUACCUCAAUUAAGCGGAAGCAUGAUCAUGAGAAGGGAUUUGGAGAAAGAAUUAUAAACAGAGAAUAAGAGAAAAUGUAAUGUGUAUAGAUUUUCUUAAUGAAUUAAUUAUGAUACAACAGAAGCUCAUAUAUAUAUAUAUAUACAUUCUAAACUAAUCAGUUAUGAAAUGUUAUUACAAAUAUAAUUUGAAUUUCAAUUUUAAAAUCAUGAUUAGUGCAGGUUUAUCAAUGCAGCAGAAUAUCCAUCAUAAACAAGAAGUUCACAGUUACAAAGUUUGAAUCUUUGUAACUGUAACUCUCUUUUGAAACUCUCUUCUUGGUCUUCAAUAUCCGUUAGCUAGCUGGAGAUGUAACAGUUACAAAGUUUGAAUCUUUGUAACUGUAACUCUCUUCUUGGUCUUCAAUGUCUGUCAGUUACAAAGUUUGAAUCUUUGUAACUGUAACUCUCUUAUGCUUAACAUUCCCCUGCAAACUGAUGGGGAUAGGAAUCACCAUCAAUUUGGACCGUAAAAACAUAAACCUUGCUGUAGUAUGACCUUUGGUGAAGACAUCUGCAAUCUGGUCAUAUGUUGAAAUAUAUCGUACAAGAAUAUCCUUAUUAAGAACUUUUUCACGGAUGAAGUGAUAAUCCACCUCUAUGUGCUUCGUUCGGGCAUGAAAAACAGGAUUAGAGGCAAGAGAUAUUGCACCUACAUUAUCACACCAUAGUGUAGGAGGUGACGACAAUGAAAUGCCAAGAUCUUGCAAUAACAUUCGAAGCCAAUAUAGUUCAGCAGUGACAAGAGCCAUGGAUCGAUAUUCGGCCUCAGUACUGGAUUUAGACACAACACUUUGUUUCUUUGCACUCCAGGAUAUGAGAUUUUGGCCUAGAAACACAAUAUAACCACUUGUAGAUUUUCUAUCAUCAGGAUUCCCAGCCCAAUCUGCAUCACAGAAAGCAUCUAAUGUUGUUGUCGAUUGAGUGUAGUGAAUACCAUAAUCAAUUGUUCCUUUCAAGUAACGAAGAACUCUUUUGGUAGCAAUCCAGUGUGGUUCUCGUGGAGCAUGCAUGAAUUGGCAUAAUUGGUUCACUGCAUAGCUGAUGUCAGGUCUUGUUAAAGUGCAAUAUUGAAGAGCACCAAUAACUUGAUGAUAUUCAGUUGGAUCAUUCAAUAUCCGUUAGCUAGCUGGAGAUGUAACAGUUACAAAGUUUGAAUCUUUGUAACUGUAACUCUCUUAUGCUUAACAUUUGGGAGGCACUUAGAUUAGGCUCUUCUCUAGUCUUGAGAAGCAAAACCAAUAGAGACGUGAUUGCGCACUCCCUGAGCUAUAUAGUAAGUGGCUGCAAACAAAUUGUCAGCACCAAUUCAGGUCCGGAAAAUUAAAGCAUUGAAGCAUAAAAGGUGACCUAACCUAAUUAAGCAAAUUACUACUUAUUCCAGCAUCACCUAGGAGUGAGACAGCCAGCCCAUCCAGUGUCUACAUGGUAAGGGAAUAAUUCCUUCAAGAAUGCAGAGAAAAUUAUACUUGCAAUACAACUAUAAACGAGAUGGUACAGUGCGGAAGGCAAGAUGUUAAAUCAAUUGAUCUUAUUAUAAUACUGUGAAAUAUGAUCAGGACAAAAAAAUAAAUAAAGAAAGAAAGAGUUGUUUAUUUUACAAUGAUCGAUAUGAUGCUUCUUUGCAUGUGGAAUCUUCGUCAAAGACUUGUUGAAAAUGCCAAAUUGUGAUCCACUUUUGGCUGUGUCAAAUGCAUGGGUGGGGCUUCACACAGAGCUAUUACCCCUUGUGUAAACUCAACGCCAGUUUUCAUGAGUUCUUUGGGAUUCUAACAUAGUAAAAAAAAGAAAGAUAAAAUAACAAAGUGUAAAGAAUAUUUAGUGAAAUAGAUAUUCGUGAUUAAUCAGUAGCAAUUAUUAUAUGCUGGCUCUCUCGGGUUUACUUGACAGAAGAUUUAUUAAAAAGAGUUGAUAAAGGAGAAAGAAAAGAAAAGAAAAUCUUCAAGGUAUAUCAAAACUCUGAUAAUAAUAUUAUUGGUAUUGUUAAAAAAAUCUCGACAAGACAAAUCGAAAAAUAACAAUGAAGGUCAUCAAUGACGAUAAAAAUAAGUCAUACGAGUGGCCCAAGAUAAGUGAGUUUUAAUACUUUUGAACAGCUUGUAUGAUUCAUUUUAUUCACUAUUUAUAAUCUUUUUUGAUGCUGUUAAAUUCAUCUUGUAAUGAUGUUGAUAAUGUUAUCAUUAUAAUUUCAAUGUAUUUUUAUUUUUAUUAUUAUUUUUUGUUUUGCUCUCUCUCCUCUCUCAUUGUAAUUUAUGAAGAGUAAGAGAGGGGGAAAAAAAAAACCCUAGUCUUCCAAUUUAAUCUGGCUGAAUACUACUAUCUCAAUCUUAUUCACUACUUUGUCAAAGCAAAGUAGAUUUUUCCUUAAAUAAGAUCUAAUCCACCGGCGGAUAGGUGAUCAAGAAUAUUAAAUUAGUGUAAAACUUGAUUUAAUUCAACAUUAUAAUUAGAGGUGCUAUAAUAAUGUGAAAAAAAGAAUAAAAAAACUAGAUGAUGGCGACCACAUAUCAAUAAUUCCAGACAUCACGUGGAGCACUUUCAUCAUCAUUAUUAUUAUUGGUAUAAUAAUGUUUGUUGUAUUAUUUUUUAAUUGUUAAGUUGUUUACUAUAUGUUAAAAUUUCAAGAUCUUCAAAGAUUGGGAAGAUCGGAUCUAAAGUUACUAUGGGACUGUCUUUAUUUUCCUAUUUGGAUUUUUUUAUUUAUAUUAAGAAUUUAAAUUUAAUUAGUAUUUUAUUAUUUAAAAAUUUUAAUGGUAAAUUGAUUCUAUUAGUUAGGUAAAUUUUAAAUAUAAAUUAUUUUUCUAUACAAAAUUUUAAAUCUAGAACUAAUAUAAAUAAAAAUAUUUAGUUUAUUUUUGUUCGAGGAUUCAUAUUAUUAUUUAAAUUUUUUUAUAAAUAUUUAGAGAUUUUUUCUAAUUUCCUAUGGUGUUAGGGAUUAUAACCUUAAGGUUUGGUUUGAAAUAAUGAUGACAGUUAUUUCUUAAAGUGUUUUUCACUUGAAAAUACAUUAAAAUAAUAUUUUUUUUAUUUUUUAAAUUUUUUUUUGAUAUCAGCAUAUCAAAACAAUUCAAAAACACCAAAAACUUAAUUUGAAAAAAAAUCAAAAUUUAUAAAAACCCCGGUUAAAAUGUUUUACCAAACACUUCUUAGUUUUUAAUAUUAAUACAUCAAAACAAUCCAAAAAUAUUAAUUUAAAAUUUUUAAAAACUCCGGUUGCGUUUGUAAGAUGUGUUGCGGCUCUCAACUUGCUACAAUGGCCUUUCUUUAAUAUUUUAUUUACACCAUUCAUGGAACCCUCUUUGCCUUCCACACAAAUCCCGGAUUUUGGUGAAACUGCUAAGAGGAAAAAUGAAGAGCUUUCCAAAGGCCAUGCUAAAACUACAAAGAAGUGAUCUCUACCUUUCCAGAAGUUAAAGGCUUUUGGGACGUUCCGCUCUUCUUGGGAAGACUCAUGUCAGUUCAAGAACACUACAAGCCUCAAUCCACUGAUAUAUUUGUCGCCAGCUUUCCAAAAACGAAGGAAAUCUUUGGUUAAUGUUCUCUGAAUCUCUCCUUUUCUCCUUCAAGAGUGAAAUUUAUGUGCCUUUCGUACCUUUUUACGUUAGAACAUUUCAUUUGUUCUUGUUUUCUAAAUUGAGUCUUUUCUAUGCGUUUUAUUAUUUUAUUUAUUGGGUAUUUGAGAGUGUAGUAAUAGUUAUAAUUUAAAGUGUUUUUAUUCAAAAAUAUAUUAAAAUAAUAUAUAUUUUUAAUUUUUUAAUAUUCAUCUUUUGACAACAUCACUCCAAAACAUUAGAAAACAUAAAAAAAAAAAAAACAAUUAGAAAACAAUUAGAAAACGCAAGAUUGCAUCAAUGCUAAAUGCAAUAUAUAUAUAUAGGUGCGCGCGCGCGCGUGUGUGAGAGAGAGAGAGAUCCACCUGUGUGUGAAAUGCAUAGUGAUGUUCCACAGCGAGCCAUUAUCUAUUAUGUAAAAUCUCUGAGAAAUGUCAUAGAUCAAUUGGUCGAUAUAGCAAAUUGAUAGGUUAAAGCUGCUCAUAAUCAAUACCUCUAAAAGAUUAUCUUUGGUGGAGAUGAAAACUUUUUGAUAUGUAAAUAAGUAUUUAAAAAAAAAUUAAAUAUUCUAUAAAGAGAUGUUCUGAAAAUACAAAUGCAGUAGAGAAUUGGAGAUUGUGAAUCUUUAUUAUGAAGGUCUCAUGAUAUAUUUAUAGCUCGAAUCUUGUCAUUUUGUGAAAAUAAGAGUUUGCAGUGUAAUUAACCUGAUAACAUUUAAUGAGGAAUAAAUAUCAUUUACAUGAUGGGAAUAUGGUGGGUCCUCGAAGGAGUUUUAUACACCUUAAAAGGUAUCAGAAAAUUAGAGUUUAAGAUAUCAAGUGUAGCUGAGCUUAUAGAGAUCAAGUUCUUUCUUGAGAUUAAAUCCAAGGGAGGUUUGUCAUUCCCCUGGACAUGCCAAGGAAGAAUGGUUAUUAUCUUGGACUUGGUUGGUUGCCAAAUCCAAGCAUCUUGGGCAUGACAUGCGUGCCAGAUCCACACUACCUUGAAGUUGGAGCACUACUAAGUCCAAGCGCCUCGGGUCUGACAUGCAUGCCAGACUUAUACUACGCUGGACUUGGUGCAUUACUAAGUCCAAAUGCCUUGGGUCUGAUAUGCCUGUUAGACCUAUAUUAUCUUGGGCUUGACGCAUUACUAUAUUCAAGCACCUUGAACUUAAUUAAUUGUCAAGUCCAUGCAUCUUAGAUUUAGAUCUAACAUAUACACUAGACUCAUAUUACAUUGAAUCUAGCGCAUUACAAAGUUAUAAUGCCUUGAAUUAAGUAUAUGUGCCACAUCCAUACAUUUUAAAAAACCAAACGAAAACUAAAUAAAAAGUUGACUCAUCGCUAAUCUAUAAAUACUAUCUACAUAAUGGCCUUAGUUGAUAUCUUCUACCGCUUACUACAUUUACUUGAAUAAUGAAAAUGUUUUUUUUUUUUAAUGGAAAAGAGAUUUUAACUCCAUCUUCAAUUACUAUAUAAAUGUUUCCUUGGGUUUUGAAAACGCAAUCAUGCUAAAAAUUUAUUAUCUAAUAUAAAAUAAAAUGUAUUUGUUUUUAUAUUUUAAAAAUGUUUUUUUUUUAAUUUUUUAAUUUUCAUCUUGUUUUGAUGUGUUAAUAUUAAUAAUAAAUUUUAAAAAUAAAAAAAAUAUUAUUUUAAUAUAUUUUUUAAAUUAAAAAUAUUUUAAAAAAUAACUAUUACAACAUUAACGAAUAAGAUUUAAUAUAAAAAACAUUCUAAUUGCAUCAGCUGAGAGGUGAUCAACAAUACCGCAUUCCCGAACUUCACAUCCCUAUAUUAAUGGAUUGUGUUGUGGGCUCCACGCCAUUUAAAGCUUGUAAGAGAAACCACACCUCUAAAUAGAAACCACACGAUCACGCUAAAAGAUUUGCUAUCGAAUAUAAUAUGAAAUAAAACCCAAUUGCAUCAGCGGACAUGUGAUCAAUAAUAUUAAAAUAAGGUAAUAGUUGAUGGGCCACAAAUUAAACCAGCUCUCAACUCGCUACAAAUAGCUGCCAUGGCCUUUCAUUCUACGUUAUAUUUUCAUUUUUUACAUUCAUGGAAUCCUCUUUGCCUUCCACCCAAAUCUCGGAUUCUGGUGACAGUGCAGAGAGGAAAAAUGAAGCUAAAAAUUACAAUGAAGUGAUGUCCACCUUUCCGAAAGUUAAAGGCUUGAAUGGGUAUGAUUAUUACCUGUACCAAGGCUUUUGGUACGCUCCCUUCUUCUUGGAAGGACUCUUGUCUGUUCAAGAGCGCUUCAAUCCUCAAUCCACUGAUAUAUUUGUCGCCAGUUGUCCAAAAACUGGCACAACUUGGCUUAAGGCCCUCACUUUUGCUAUUUUCACACGAUCCCGUUUAAGUGGUUCAACAACUAGUUCUUUACUUACCAAGAUGCCACAUGACUGUGUUCCUUUUUUGGAAUAUCACCUUGCUCAAAACCCCAGUAAUCGGGACUUGGCAAUUCCUCUGGUAUCUACUCAUGUUCCUUGCACUUGUUUACCUAAAUCUAUCAUUUCUUCUUGUUGCAAGAUUAUUUACAUUUCCAGGGACGCAAAGGAUGCUUUUGUUUCUUUGUGGUACUUUCUUGCCAGGCUGCAAAUGUCGAAAAAUGUUGAACCUCUUCCUCUGGAAGAGGCAUUUGAGUUGUUUUGCAAUGGAAUUGCAAAUUUUGGACCAUAUUGGGACCAUGUUUUAGGGUAUUGGAGAGCAAGCUUCGAGUUCCCUGAUAUUGUUCUUGACAUACGAGGAAAUGAAGAAAGACACCGCUGCUCAUGUUAAGAAACUAGCUGAGUUCAUGGGUUGUUCUUUCUGUUGCAUUAAACUCAAUCUAGAAGGUUAAGGAAGGCAACCACCACUUGCAGCCACUAGCUGUCACCGCCUAGCCGCCAGCCGUCUUCAUACUUGAAAGUUGAAUUAUCUUGUUUUUGAAUUCUGUGUAUAAAUAGAUAGCUAAGUGGAUGUUAUUCUGUGUGGAAAGAGAAGAAAGAAACACUAGAGAGAAAGAGAGAGGGAGUGUGUAGCUUUUGUUUAAUUAUUGUAAGCUUUUAUUGUUGAAAUAAAACAGUGUGUUUUAUCUCUUCUGAGUGUUUCAAAGCCACCACCAGUGGUUUCUCCCACCAACAAUUGGUAUCAGAGCCUCGUUCGUCACAAAACACAAGUAUUUUGGGAGAUACACGAAUUUUCAAAGUUGUCAAAAACAAUUUUUGAUCAUUCCACAAUGUAGAGCUCAUCCAUACGAACUCACUGGUGCAAAAAUCAGCUUCAUCGGAGCCCGAGGUGAUCCCCACGCGCCUCCUGAAAUUCCGGUAACUGUAGCCCAGUCUCACCCACGCGCUCCAGAGGUUGAAGACGCCAGAGGUUGAAGACGAGUGUCGUCCACGCGCGCCAUAUUCGAGCCGAUCCCCAGCCGAGCCGAUCUUUAGCCUCAGCCGAGCCGAUAGAAUAUUCCCCAGAAUAUUCCCGGUUCAACCCCAGCGAACCGCCUAACGUCCAGAAUCGGUUUUCAGACCGGUUCAGCCUAUUUCUGACCCAUUUUCAUCCAAGUCAGGCCGGUUCCCUACUGUUUUGAGCAUUCUGGAUCCAUCUACGGUGUCUGUUUUGCCAAAUUCAACUCCCAGAAGGUGAUAUAGUCAUUCAAAAAGCAAAAUGACUACAGAAAAUGCACAAACACUCAUCCCGAAGCUGACCAAAGACAACUAUGAUAGUUGGUGUAUCAGAUUGAAGGCAUUUCUUGGUUUACAAGAGUGUAUAGAGAUUGUGCAAUAUGGUUAUGAUGAACCAGAGUCUAAAGAAGUAGAAGAUACUUUAAAUGAGGCAGAAAAGCAAGUCCUCAAAGCAAAUAGAAAGAAAGACAACAAAGCAAAGACCAUAAUCUAUCAAGGUCUUGACGAAGCUAUAUUCGAAAUUAUUGCUUCCGCAGAAACAUCAAAAGAGAUAUGGGAGGCUCUCCAACAAAAAUACAAAGGUGCUGACAGAAUCAAGAAGAUUCGUCUCCAAUCUUUGCGAGGUGAGUUUGAAUUAUUGCAAAUGAAGGCCUUAGAAUCUAUUUUUGACUAUCACACAAGAAUUAUGGUGAUAGUCAAUCAGAUGAGAAGAAAUGGAGAAGCCCUCACAGAUGCUCGGAUUACAGAGAAAAUUUUGAGAUCCCUAUAUCCAAAAUUUUAUUUUGUUGUUGUCGUUAUUGAAGAGUCCAAAGAAGUGGACAAGUUGAUGGUGGAUGAGCUUAUGAGUUCUUUGCAAGCUCAUGAGCAAAAGAUCGUGAAAAGAAAUGGAGAUAAGGCAAUUGAGCAUGCCUUACAAGCAAAGUUGUCUCUCAAAGACAGAUAUGAGCAAGGGGAGACUUCAAUAAGUGGAUAUACCACUCAAGGAAGAAGUCCACAAAGACGAGGAGGAUUUCAGCAAUUCCAAGGAAGAGGAUCUUGGAAUACAGGUUUUAGAGGAAGAGGUGGCAGAUAUACCACUAGAGGAGGCCGAGGACAACAAUCAUUCACUCCUAAAGGAAGAGGAGGCGGUUACAAUAACCGUGACAAGAGGAAUAUCCAGUGUUAUAAGUGCAAUCAAUUUGGGCACUAUAGCAUUGAAUGUCAAAGGAAAGCUCCAUUAGAGGUACGUGAGCAUGCAAACUAUGCAGAGGAGGAUGCCAACAGCAGAGGAGCAGCUGCAUUAUUUGUCCAACAAGGACUUGACAAGAAUCAAGAGAAUAUUUGGUAUCUUGAUUCUGGAGCCAGCAAUCACAUGUGUGGCCAACGAGAUCUAUUUGGCGAUCUAGAUGAGACCAUACAAGGUCUAGUCACCUUUGGAGAUACAUCAAAAGUUCCAUUCAAAGGUAAAGGCAACAUCCCAAUCAAGUUGAAGAAUGGCGAUCAUAGCUACAUCGCCAAUGUCUACUAUGUCCCAGCCAUAAAGCAAAACUUGGUGAGCAUAGGUCAACUUCUAAAGAAAGGUUAUACACUUUUCAUGAAGAAUUGUCAUCUGACAGUUACAGACUACAAUGGGAGAUUAAUUGCCUAUGUGAAAAUGUCCAAGAAUAGGAUGUUUCCUUUAAACAUCCAAUAUGAUGCAGCAAAGUAUUUGAGUGCCAUCACCAACAGUGAAGAGUGGCUUUGGCACCUGAGGCUUGGACAUCUGAAUUUCACAAGUCUGAAGAUGCUAGCAAGCAAGAAGAUGGUCAAAGGUAUGCCCCACAUUGAUCAUCCAGAUGAAGUCUGUGAGAGUUGUGUCCUCAGCAAACAUCACAGAUCCAAUUUUGCCAAAGAAGUCAACUGGAAAGCAAACAAGCCACUGGAGUUAGUGCACACAGAUGUGUGUGGUCCCAUAAAGCCUAUGUCGACUGGACCAAAUAGGUACUUCCUUACUUUCAUUGAUGAUUUUAGCAGAAAGACGUGGAUAUACUUUCUGAAGAGGAAGUUAGAAGUGUUCAAUUGUUUUAAAGAUUUUAAAGCAAUUGUUGAGAAGCAAAGUGGCUAUAAGAUCAGAACCGUGAGAUCUGAUCAAGGUGGAGAAUAUACAGCAAAUGACUUUGAAGCCUUUUGUACACAACAAGGCAUCAAACAUCAGACAACACCAGCUUAUACACCACAGCUGAAUGGUGUAGCUGAAAGAAAGAAUCGAACGAUUCUUGACAUGGCGAGAAGUCUACUCAAAGCAAAGAAGCUGCCCAAACAAUACUAGGCUGAAGCUGUAUCAUGUGCAGUGUAUCUACUGAAUCGCUGCCCAACCAAAAGUUUGCAAGCUGUCACUCCACAAGAAGCAUGGAGUGGUCACAAACCAAGUGUUACUCAUCUUCGAGUCUUUGGUUGUGUGGCAUAUGCAAAGAUCCCAGAUGCAAGAAGGACCAAACUCGAUGAUAAAAGCGAGAAAUGCAUCUUUGUCGGAUAUGGUGAGAGAAAGAUGGGAUACAAGCUGUAUAAUCUCAUCACAAAGAAGGUAAUUAUGAGUAGAGAUGUUAUCUUUGAAGAAGAUAAAACAUGGCAAUGGAAGGAUGACCAAGAAGCAGUCAAAUGGAUCAGCACUGAUUUGAUCCUUGAAGAUGAAGUGGAAGUACCACCAGUACUUGCAGAAGGUCUGAUAUUACCGGCAGAUGAGCCACAAAGUUCGGUACACAGAUUCCCUGUAUUCAACAGGAGAAACACACCAGAAUCAUCAUCAGCAUCCUCAUCAGAAGGACCAAGAAGGAUGAGAAAUCUAGACGAGUUGUACGAUGUCAUGCAAGUCAUGGAAGAUACAACUCUAUUUUGUUUCUUUACAGAUACUGACCCACUUAGCUUCAAUGAAGUUAUCAAAGAAGAGAAGUGGAUAUAAGCAAUGGAUGAAGAAAUACAUGCUAUUGAGAAGAAUGACACCUGGAAGCUGACUAAUCUACUAGAAAACAAGAAAGCAAUAGGUGCCAAAUGGGUCUAUAAGACAAAGAAGAAUGCAAAAGGAGAAGUGCAAAGAUACAAAGCAAGAUUAGUAGCAAAAGGCUACAAAUAAAGAGAAGGCAUUGACUAUGGAGAAGUAUUUGCUCCAGUAGCCCGGCUAGAGACAAUCAGACUGAUGAUCUCACUAGCUGCACAACAUAGAUGGAAGAUCUAUUAACUCGAUGUGAAGUCAGCAUUUCUGAAUGGCUUCCUAGAAGAAGAGAUCUAUGUUGAACAACCACUUGGAUACAUCGAAGCUGAAAAUGACGGCAAAGUAUACAAGUUGAAGAAAGCUCUCUACGGUUUGAAGCAAGUUCCGCGUGCUUGGAAUACCAGAAUUGACAGGUAUUUUCAAGAAAAUGAAUUUGAAAAAUGUCCAUAUGAACACGCAAUAUAUGUGAAGAAAGAAGCAGAUAACAACAUAUUAUUUGUGUGCCUAUAUGUUGAUGAUUUGCUAUUCACCGGCAACAACCCAACCAUGUUUGAAGCCUUCAAGAAAAGCAUGGUACAAGAGUUUGAGAUGACAGACAUUGGUCUGAUGGCACACUUUCUUGGCUUAGAAGUGGUGCAGAAAGAAGAAGGGAUUUUUGUAUCCCAAAGCAGUUAUGCCAAAGACAUUCUUGAAAGGUUCAAGAUGGAAAGCUGCAAUCCGGUAUCAACUCCAGUUGAGAAUGGAGUAGAAUUGAGGAAGAGUAAAGUUGGAAAUGUUGAUCCAACUUACUUCAAAAGCUUAGUAGGAAGCUUAAGGUACUUGACAUGUACCAGACCGGAUAUACUCUACGGAGUUGGUCUUAUCAGCAGAUACAUGGAGACACCAGACCAGUCUCACUUGAAUGCAGCCAAGAGAAUUCUUCGCUACAUCAAAGGAACAAUCAAUGAAGGUAUGUUUUAUACCUCAAGUACAAACUUCAAUCUUGUUGGCUACUCGGAUAGUGAUUGGGGUAGAGAUCUGGAUGAAAGGAAAAGCACAACAGGGUUUGUCUUUUUCAUGGGAAAUACAUUUUUCACAUGGUCAUCCAAGAAGCAAUCGAUAGUAACGUUAUCAAGCUGUGAAGCUGAGUAUGUUGCUGCCAACUCAGCUGUAUGCCAUUUAAUAUGGUUAAGAAAUAUGCUGAAGCAUUUGGGAUUUCCUCAAGAAGAUCCCACAGAGAUUUAUAUUGAUAAUCGAUCAGCGAUUGCAUUAGCAAAGAACCCGGUGUAUCAUGAACGAAGUAAACACAUUGAUACACGUCAACACUUUAUCCGAGAGCAUAUAAAGAACAAAGAAGUCGAGCUGAUAUCCUGCAAGACAAAUGAUCAAGUUGCAGAUAUCUUUACAAAGCCAUUGAAGGGAGAAACAUUUAUCAGACUGAAGUUCAUACUUGGCGUGACAUCCCUCGAUUAAGUUUAAAGGGGGGAUUUGUUGCAUUAAACUCAAUCUAGAAGGUCAAGGAAGGCAACCACCACUUGCAACCACCAGCUGUCACCGCCCAGCCACAAACCGCCCAGCCGCCAGCCACUAGCUGUAUGCCGCCAGCCUCCAGCCGCCUUCACACUUGAAGGUUGAAUUAUCUUGUUUUUGAAUUCGUGUAUAAAUAGGUAGCUAAGUGGAUGUUAUUCUGUGUGGAAAGAGAAGAAAGAAACACUAGAGAGAAAAGAGAGGGAGUGUGUAGCUUUUGUUUAAUUAUUGUAAGCUUUUAUUGUUGAAAUAAAACAGUGUGUUUUAUCCCCUCUGAGUGUUUCAAAGCCACCACCAGUGGUUUCUCCCACCAACACUUUCACCUUAGAGGAAGAGGAGGAAGGGGAGGUGCAAAAGAUAAUAAGCAUGUGUAGUUUUGAGAAGUUGAGCAACUUGGAGGUGAAUAAAAAUGGGAAGCACCGUCCGGACACAUCAAUUGCUAUUCAAAACAGUGUAUACUUCAGGAGAGGUGAGAUAGGCGACUGGGCAAAUCACUUGACACCUGAAAUGGGAGCACGUCUAGAUGACAUAAUGGAGCAGAAACUCAAGGGUUCAGGCUUGAAGCUGCCGAGGUGAAUGUGCCUAGGGUCCCAUUUGCUUGUGAUUAUUGCCGAAGCGGGUUCAUCAAAAGCUGUUAUCAACAUCUCGUGAAACAGCAACUGUGUAUCCCAAUAAAUACCCUCUCUGUUCAUCUCUUGUAUUUCCCAGCAAGUAUUCACAUUUUGUGAAUCAUCCAUGUCAAUAAGCA
rnacentral:lncRNA from 1 species